rnacentral:rRNA from 1 species
AACGUAGGGGGCAAGCGUUGCCCGGAUUCACUGGGCGUAAAGCGGGUGUAGGCGGUUCUUUAAGUCAGAUGUGAAAUCCUGCGGCUCAACCGCGGAACUGCAUCUGAUAGUGGGGAACUUGAGGACGGUAGAGGUCGGUGGAAUCCCCGGUGUACCGGUGAAAUGGGCAGAUAUCGGGGGGAACACCAGUGGCGAAGGCGGCCGACUGGGCCGAUCCUGACGCUGAGACCCGAAAGCCAGGGUAGCGAACCGG